UUACUUUAGAGUUACAACUUAUUAUCAGGUUUAUAAUUACUACCACCUUGGUUGAUUCGCUUACAUUUUGAAAUCAAUUUCACUCCCAAUUCCUAACUACUAAAGACAACUCAAGUAAUCCACUUAUAUUGAGAUUUUUUUUACAAUAGUACAAGAUACGUUAGCAUCCUUGCUCAAUAUCUAGUUGUUGAGAUCUACAACAGAAGAUGGGUUUGGCUAGCGUAGAGCAGUUUGUAAUUGGUCCACCGGAGAGGUCUGCCAUCACCACCGACAACGAUCUCAGCUUCUCAACAAUACCACCAACAAGUCGAAGAAAUAACUUGGAAAAAACAAAUUGAAAAUCCUUUCGUCAUCUCCUCCGAACCCUUUGCCAGCAACUUCACGCACAGUUCCCAGUAUAGUGGAAGGCGAAGUGGAGGAGGACAUCGGCGCCUGGAGAUGCAGUGACAUCAAUGGGAAGAAGAUGAAGUGGCCGUCAUUGUUAUCUUGCUUAUAGAGACGGAAGAGAUGAAAG
rnacentral:lncRNA from 1 species